GAAUCUUGGUCUAUGUCUUAGAAAGGGAUAUUGGUCCAAUGUUUGCAGUUUUCUCUUAAGACAGGCUAAAAAUAUGUUCAUUGUCCAAGCUGAGAAAGCGCAGAUAAAAAUCAGAAACAAGGAAAAGGGUUUUAGGCUUGAUUUAUGCUGUCCAAAUGAUUGAAAGUAUAUUACAGGAAAUUUAUACUUCAGGUUUUAGCCUGAGUAUAGAUGAUAGUAUUCUGGAGCUUUCUUCCAGGGUACAUAGAUCUUCAGUAAUAGUAAAGGACAAAAGGGAAAGAACGAGUUGAGGGUCGUGCAGAGUUCACCUUAUAUACUUCCUGCAGUGAUCCCUUAGUUUUUAGUUACUAUCAAGAAUUUCAAAGCAAUAUUUCAUUGUGCAGUCAGCAUCAUGUGCUGGCUAACAAACAUUCAGUUUACUUCAAUUUUGUUACAUUCAAUUUGUAUAUUGUUUUAUUAUCAUUUUUGCAAUGCUGUUUUCAAAACCCAAGAAGAGGAGAACCUACCUGGGAUAUAACAUUUCUGUUCUCAGCAGUUUCCCCAAGCAGGGAGGCCAUACAAGAAGCCAGGAAGACUAAAAUAGACGCCGCGUGCUUAACAGCAAAGUUAUGGGAAACGUAAGGAUGAACCUUGCCGUGUUUUCUGCGGGGGCCUGUGCGGCGGUAGGAGAUGCUACGCCUCACCCACGUGGCUGCUCACAACACUUUACUCAUCUCAUGGCAUUUAGAGGACGAGAAGACUGGGAGUUCCCUUGGAAGUUCACUCAGUUCCUCUGUUACUUCUGUCACCGUAGUCAUGAUGGCUGAAUAUCCAUGAAUCUGUCUGUCUGCUCCUCAGAUGUGUUGGUGUUACCCCUUGUCUCUGAGGGUGAGCUUCAUCUGGCUAAGUGAAAGAAAAAAAAAAGAGGCAAGAUUAAACGACAAAGACAUCAAAAUCAUUCAGUGAUUCAUCUCUUUCCUGUUGGACUGGAUAUUACAGCUGUUACAGAAAAUAGUGAAUUUUCUGUUUGUCUUUUGUUUGAUUUGACAUUUUGUGGAAAGAAAAAAAUAAAAGAAAACACACUGUAGCAGCUGGUAAGCAUUGUGGGAGCCCUUGUGUCACACAUUUUCUUAGAGCGUAUGAUCCUGUCAUUACUGAGCAGUGACAUUGGCUGGGAUCAGAGGUAAAGAAAGCCUUGUUAUAUUUUAUUGUUCAAAUUUAUAAUUUGGGGAGUUAAGAUUGUGUUUUGAAAAGGCAUAUUGAAAAGGAAAAUGGAAAAAAAGGAAUGGAAAACCAUGCUUAAUUUUUGUCAACUGUAAGAAGCCAUGUUGCUGGACAAAGCAAAUCUCCCUUGCACUAUUAACAGAGCACCUCCCUGGCCUGCGACACUAUUCCAAGUUGUCAUGUCACCUGUUACAUCAUAAGGAGAUUGUCAUUCCAAACCAUGAAUCUUUAAUCUUCUACUCUUAAUACUUUCUUUCUAAUUCUGGACAGUCUUCAGAUUCUGUAAACCAUGGGCCUAGAAGUGGAAACUCUGCUGUCUG